rnacentral:rRNA from 1 species
CAGUCGCCACGGGAAUACGUAGGGCGCAAGCGUUGUCCGGAAUUAUUGGGCGUAAAGAGCUCGUAGGCGGUCUGUCGCGUCUGGUGUGAAAUCCCGAGGCUCAACCUCGGGCUUGCAUCGGGUACGGGCAGACUAGAGUGCGGUAGGGGAGACUGGAAUUCCUGGUGUAGCGGUGGAAUGCGCAGAUAUCAGGAGGAACACCGAUGGCGAAGGCAGGUCUCUGGGCCGCAACUGACGCUGAGGAGCGAAAGCAUGGGGAGCGAACAGGAUUAGAUACCCCUGUAGUCCCUGUCUCUUAUAA